rnacentral:rRNA from 1 species
GAAUCGGCUCAGGAUGAACGCUGGCGGCGUGCUUAACACAUGCAAGUCGAACGAAGCACUUUAUUUGAUUUCUUCGGAAUGAAGAUUUUGUGACUGAGUGGCGGACGGGUGAGUAACGCGUGGGUAACCUGCCUCAUACAGGGGGAUAACAGUUGGAAACGACUGCUAAUACCGCAUAAGCGCACAGGGUCGCAUGACCUGGUGUGAAAAACUCCGGUGGUAUGAGAUGGACCCGCGU